CAGUAAUCAAGGUAAGACCCAGAUGCAGACUGUUGAAGUAACAAUGUUUAUUGUAGCAACAGGGGCAGGAACAGACCGGUCAAGGCAGGCAGGGGUUGACAAUCCAGGGUAGAGCAAAGGUACAGGACGGCAGGCUCAGGGACAGGCAGAAAGGUAAGGUGGGCAGGUACAGGCUCAGGGACAGGCAGAGAGGUAAGGUGGGCGGGUACAGGCUCAGGGACAGGCAGAGAGGUAAGGUGGGCGGGUACAGGCUCAGGGACAGGCAGAGAGGUAAGGUGGGCGGGUACAGGCUCAGGGACAGGCAGAGAGGUAAGGUGGGCGGGUAUAGGCUCAGGGACAGGCAGAGAGGUAAGGUGGGCAGGUACAGGCUCAGGGACAGGCAGAGAGGUAAGGUGGGCGGGUACAGGCUCAGGGACAGGCAGAGAGGUAAGGUGGGCGGGUACAGGCUCAGGGACAGGCAGAAAGGUAAGGCGAGCGGGUACAGGGUCGGGACAGGCAGAGGUCAAAAACCAGGAGGCUGAGAAAAGAGAGGCAGGGAAAAAGACAGGAGCUGACAGGAAAACCACUGGUAAGCUUGAACGAACAAGACGAACUGGCAACAAACAGAGAACACAGGUAUAAAUACACAGGGGAUAAUUGGGAAGAUGGGCGACACCUGGAGGGGGGCGAGACAAGCAAAGGUGAAACAGAU
ensembl:lncRNA